UACAAGUGCCUUUCAAAGAUUUGUGGAUUAGUCGUUCAUACCUAAUGAUAUGACCGGAGAACAAAUUCUGCAUUUCUGCACAGGACUGGAAAAUUCAUGAAUGGUCUUCGUUUAUGCAUCUGCGUGGAAGCCACCUCUGAUUGCGUGAGAUGAGACCAUUUACCUUUUCAACUUCGGUAUGUUCUUUAAUUUUGUUGGCCCUUUCACUUUCUCCGAUGGCAUUUUCCGGUGGAAUAACAUAUUCAAGUAAGAUUGCUUGCUAGGUAUGUCAUGAGCUAUGGCCCACUAACCUAUCAAUUGAUAAAUAUAUAUAUUUUUAAGGUCAAGACAACCUGAUAACAAGGGCAUGCUAUUCAAGAGUACAAGUUCGUGUCGCAUGGCAUGAAAGAGCAGGGAACCAUCAGAAGAAUCAUUCAGAGUGACCGAAUGGGAAGAAACGGGUGUCAUCAUCAUAUUCCGAGGACAGUGUUUUUAGGGUAAUCUUGGUCAAAACUUGAACUUGGUAGCAGAUUUGCCCUAUUGGCAUGUAAGAAUCUCAUGUCAAGUCUAGCAAAAAAUAAGUUCGAUGGCUUGGGCAUCUGUGCACAGUGAAAAUCUCAUGCUUCACUGCAUCCUGUGGUUCAGAUUCAGAUGUGAUUUUACAGCCUGGAGGCCUUGAUGUCACCAUUCAAGAACUCGCAUACACACCGUUGGGGAUUAAUUGUGUAAUUAGCGCAGGAAAAAAAAUAGCAAGGUAACAUAGGAUAAAUUGUUUUUGACAAAAUAACACAGUUUUGAUGAUAUUUUAGUUAAUAUACGUGACAUUUUAAUAAUAUUGUAUUUCAGAA
rnacentral:lncRNA from 1 species